rnacentral:rRNA from 1 species
GAUGAACGCUGGCGGCGUGCUUAACACAUGCAAGUCGAACGGAAAGGCUCCUGCUUGCAGGGGUACUCGAGUGGCGAGCGGGUGAGUAACACGUGGGUGAUCUGCCCUGCACUUCGGGAUAAGCCUGGGAAACUGGGUCUAAUACCGGAUAGGACGAUGGUUUGGAUGCCAUUGUGGAAAGUUUUUCGGUGUGGGAUGAGCUCGCGGCCUAUCAGCUUGUUGGUGGGGUAAUGGCCUACCAAGGCGUCGACGGGUAGCCGGCCUGAGAGGGUGUACGGCCACAUUGGGACUGAGAUACGGCCCAGACUCCUACGGGAGGCAGCAGUGGGGAAUAUUGCACAAUGGGCGCAAGCCGGAGGCAGCGACGCCGCGUGGGGGAUGACGGCCUUCGGGUUGUAAACUCCUUUCGCUAGGGACGAAGCGCAAGUGACGGUACCUGGAGAAGAAGCACCGGCUAACUACGU